UACGUAGGGUGCAAGCGUUGUCCGGAAUUAUUGGGCGUAAAGAGCUCGUAGGCGGUUUGUCGCGUCGGCCGUGAAAUCUCCACGGCUUAACGUGGAGCGUGCGGUCGAUACGGGCAGACUUGAGUUCGGUAGGGGAGACUGGAAUUCCUGGUGUAGCGGUGAAAUGCGCAGAUAGUCAGGAGGACACCGGUGGGCGAAGGCGGGGUCUCUGGGCCGGAUACUGACGCUGGAGGAGCGAAAGCGUGGGGAGCGAACAGG
rnacentral:rRNA from 1 species